rnacentral:rRNA from 1 species
AUACGGAGGGCGCGAACGUUGCUCGGAAUCAUUGGGCGUAAAGCGCACGUAGGCGGCCUGAUAAGUCGGAUGUGAAAGCCCACGGCUCAACCGUGGAAGUGCAUUCGAAACUGUCAGGCUUGAGUAUGAGAGAGGGUUGCGGAAUUCCCGGUGUAGAGGUGAAAUUCGUAGAUAUCGGGAGGAACACCAGCGGCGAAGGCGGCAGCCUGGACCAAUACUGACGCUGAGGUGCGAAAGCGUGGGGAGCAAACAGCAUUAGAAACCCUAGUAGUCC